rnacentral:rRNA from 1 species
UCUCUCUGAAUCUGCGAACGGCUCCGCACACCAGUUGUAAACCAAAGCAAGCAAGCCUGGUCUCGAUGCCUCUCGGGGCUAGGGGCCAGGCUACAAGGAUAACCCUGGUAAUUCUGAGGCUAAUACGUGACACGAACCUGUCGACUGGGGCCUGCCCCGGGAAGCGGGGGAUGUGCGACUAUCGGGCCAACGAAACCGGAAAGAGCGCACGUUCAGACCACUUAAAAAGGCACUGGGUUCCUUCGGGGAUCCAGGGCUGUGGCUCUUGCACUGUGCUUCUGACCUAUCAACUAGACGGCAGCCUAAGGGACAUGCUUUGGUGACAACGGGUACAGAGGAUAAGGGUUCGAUCCUGGAGAGUGGGCCUGAGAGAUU